AGUGCAAUGAGACAGGCAGCGAAAUCCUUAGACAACAUUCUAAUCUUGAUUUCACUAAAGAAAACUGCAAAGAGAAAAUGAUUACCUUUAACAACAAUCACAUGGAGAGUGUUAUGGGGUGUUUCCAACCAAAGUAAUA